ensembl:lncRNA
GGACAUUCCUGUUAGCAUUGACCGUGAACAAAUCUACCACUGAGCAACAGGAUGUGGGACAAACAGCAGAAGGCAACCAACCUGCACAACUAACUCCUUUCGGGUUGGUCCAGAUGUUUGUAUGCUCCCUUCCACGGCCCAGGCCAAGCUUGCUGAGCUGCUCCUCCUUUGUGCAGAAUGACAACGGUGCCCAUGGCAUGUGGUGGCUAUGCACAGCAUGCCUUUUACUUGCUUUUCCUCUCUCCGUCUUCCACCACCAAACAGAACCUCCAAUCUCUCCCGGCUAAAAAAUCACUUAGGGUAAAAAAAGAACUGGCAACCUUACUUUUAAAAUUACAACUUGAUGCUUUAAAGCAGAAGCUCACCUAGCAAGGACACCUACCUUACACAAGCUCAACCUACACGGAAAAGUUAUUCCUCUGCGUCUGCACACUCGGCACGCUUUUUCAGCUGCAAUAGUCAGCCCAGUUCUCAGCACAGCUUUACCAUCCACAGAAAGCCAGUUCACCGCCACCAUCUUUUUCUCUCUUCUGAAACACUCUACUGCUGCAAGAAGCAACGGUUACAAUCACAGAAUCACAGAACUGUAGGGGCUGGAAGGGACCUCUAGAGAUCACUGAGUCCAACCCCUCCCCCCGCAAAACAGGCUCCAUACAGCUGGCUGUACUGUAGGCAUCCAGCUGGGUUUGGAGUAUCUCCAGAGAAAAACAAUCCACAACCUCCCUGGGCAGCCUGACUAUAUACCCCCCCGCCCAUAACGUCCCCACAGCCACCUAUAGCCACAAAUCCUCGGAUGGCUCACCACAACCCCAGAAACCCCCCAAAAGUACACCUCAGCUCCUUAUAGACCCAUAAGCCUUUACAGUCCAUGCAGAGCCUCCUACAGUAGCCCCAGAUCCCCCUAUAGCCUCCCCGCAGCUCCCAGUAGCCACAGGCCCACCUUAGCCCCGGUUCCGGGGGGCUGCAGGUGGUCUGGGGGCACCGGGAGCAGCGCUGGAGGGGUUGGGGGUGGGGGGGCACGGUUCAGAUGCUUGCAGCAGCACUGUAGCACUGGGGGACCUCAGGCCUCCAUCCGUCCCAAUCCCAACACCCAUCCCCCACACACAUCCCACAGCCCUCAUCCCAACCCCACAGCCCAACCCCACGGGAGUUCCACGGGGGAGGGGAGGGCAGUGUGCUUGGGGGGCCGCGCAGGGCUCCUCUCCCUCUCCCGCUCCCGUUCUCCCGCACACCUCCGGCAGAGCUGUCCUCAG